AUAAGGAUGAGGAUGGUGCUAUGUGUUAGAGAAUUACAAAAGGGAAAGGUGAGAAAUUGAGAGUAGAAAGAAGAAUGACGAAGUUUACACUCUCCUGAGGAAGGACCCUCAAGAGAGGACCUUAUAAACACAAUUAGCUACUGGAAAAGACGGAAAAAAUUAUGGCACAAUGAAGAAAAUAAUGUUCAAGGCUCAGUGGAAGAAAAAGAAAAGAGGAGGUCUC